GACGAACCGUGCGAACGUUGUUCGGAAUCACUGGGCUUAAAGGGCGCGUAGGCGGCUUGCCAAGUCAGGGGUGAAAUCCUGCAGCUUAACUGUAGAAGGGCCUUUGAUACUGGCGAGCUCGAGGGAGGUAGGGGUAUGUGGAACUUCCGGUGGAGCGGUGAAAUGCGUUGAUAUCGGAAGGAACGCCGGUGGCGAAAGCGACGUACUGGACCUCUUCUGACGCUGAGGCGCGAAAGCUAGGGGGGAGCAAACGGG
rnacentral:rRNA from 1 species